GCAGAUAGGAACUCCCACUCCUUCCUGUGGAGAGCAGAGCUGUCUUCGUGCCCUCUGCACUUCACCACCGGGAGACACAUGCCUGCUACAGCCCAGUGUCACUAUGCCUUCUGCCCAGGGCUUGCGCACAGCUGGGCACGGGACCGAAGGGGACUGUCUUCUGACUUCAGCUGCAGGAGUGCAGCCCUCGUGAUUGCCAUGGGGCACCCUCUUGACACUGUAACCCAACUGCCCCUUUGUACAGAUGUGGCCAUGCUGCGGCAUAGCCUUGGAACUGGAGUGGUGGUCCUGCAGCAUCUGUUUGCCAGAAGCUGCUCACAGCACAAGUGAAAAAAGGAAGCAACCUGGAUCAUGCUGAGGAUGCAAAAGGGAGCGCUGCCAUCCAAGAUCUUUGCAGAAGAUGCACAUCCUCAGACCCCCAGCCCCCAGCCUCAGCUCAUUUUCUUGGCUUCUUUAGACAAGCCCUGCAAUUACCACCAUACCCUAACUCUGCCAUUGCCCAGCAUGAUCUCCAAGUUUCUGAAGCUGAGACUGAGGCCACUUUCUAAUCAAGGAGUGAGAAGUCACAGACAUGCCAGGUUUCCCAGGUGUUUGGUCACUGGAGGGCUGGAGUUGUGUAUGGUGAAGUUGUCCCCACACACACUGUGGACAAUGCAGCUGGCACUCCUAAGCAAGACCUUUCCUCCCAGAAUACGGAGAAAGCAGCUGAUUCCUCAGCCUUGGCUCCUCCCAUACCAAAAGGGGACUCUGCAACAGUUCAUCAGUCUGAGAUUGUCCUAUUUCUUCAAAUAAGUCUGGACAGCAGUUGGCUGUAGCUUCCAGUCAGUCGUUGACACCAGAUGGAAAAGAGACGGAUAAAGGGCUGCUUCAGCUACUGAUACACAGUCCCUGAGACCAUUGUGCAUCCAAAUGAAUUUCUGUGUAAAACUAUGUGAAAAAAAAAAAACCAAAAACAAACAAAAUCAAAACAAACAAAAAAAAUACCCCAAAACACUAUC